rnacentral:sRNA from 1 species
AGCCGGUUGAUCUUUAUGAAGGAAGACAGUUCCUCCCGGGCUUUUGAGUGAAUCACCCAAAUUUCCGGUCCACUGGUGUC